AUUUUACGAGGGUGCCGCAGGAAGAUAGCCUCGGAGGAGGCCUAGAAACCCACAAGUAAAGAUAGUGGCUGAGAUUUCUCGCGGCGGCGAGAGCGACCCCCACAGCCCCCGGCCACAAACACACCUCCCCCGUGUAGCCUCCACGACCCGCAGCAUACAGCGAGCCCCGCACCUGAGUACCCGACAUCUCGACCCUUCCCUUCCCUUCCCUUCCUUCGUCAUUCGCGCGCGCACGCACGCACGCACGCACGCUUGUUCCUCCCGCUGCUGGGCUAGCUAGAUCCCCAAAGCGGACGAGUUGGCCCGGAAGCUUCGUCCGGAAGCAUCGGCCUGUGGCGGCAGAGAGAGGAGCCGCUGCGCCCGGUGCGGCGGUCGCUUGAGGCCGCCGCGCGGAGGGCGGGCUGGGCGGGCGACGUGGCGACCGGGGUUAGCUUGCUGCUCGCCCGAGGCAUACUGUGUUGCCCUUAAAUAACGUGUUUGAGAUUGUGGGAGAUAAACUCAUGGAUGCUCCUUCCAAGGCAUACUGUUAGUCGAGGUGUAGGAAGUGUUAAGGGGAUACAUAAUCAGUUUUGAGCUGUGAGGCCCUGCAUUUGUGCUGCCUGCUGUUUGAUUCACAGCUCACUCUUUUCCUCCUACUCAUUCAAGCAAAGUACUGGAAUUUGUAAGCUCAGUUUAUUCAGGUCAUGGGAAUUGUUUGUCCUUAGCAGAGUUGAAGAUAAAGAGAGGAAGGCUAAACUCCGCUGACUCAGUUCAUGUGUGCAAUGAGCCAACUGCAAUAGAGGUUUUCAGUAGAUUAACACCAAUUGGGUCAAAGAAAAUAGAGAGGUUUAGGGGGAGGUAUGAGAUACUACUCGCGUCAAGUCCAGCGUUUGGCUGGAGACACAGAAGGAGGAGCACUGUUGUUUGUAGACGCCCUCAACUCCAAGUAACAAAGCGACCAGUUGUCAACACUUCCUUUUAUUUUUGUAUUUUCCCUGGAAUUGGAGAUGGAGAUAAAUUCUUCGGGUGAGGAAACGGUGAUAAAGGUACGAAAGCCGUACACAAUAACAAAGCAGCGGGAGCGGUGGACCGAGGCAGAGCACAAACGGUUCCUUGAAGCCCUCAAACUGUAUGGCAGAGCUUGGCAGCGCAUAGAAGAGCAUGUCGGGACAAAGACGGCCGUGCAAAUCAGAAGCCAUGCUCAGAAGUUCUUCACCAAGUUGGAAAAGGAAGCUAUCAAUAAUGGUACUUCUCCGGGACAAGCUCAUGAUAUAGACAUACCUCCACCACGGCCUAAAAGAAAACCUAACUGUCCAUAUCCUCGAAAAGGUUGUCUCAGUUCUGAAACACCCACCAGAGAAGUUCCAAAAUCAAGUGUAAGCUUGAGCAAUAGCAAUGCAGAAAUGGCGAGCAAUGGAACUCUUCAGCUCACCUGCAUUCGGAAACUUCAAAGGAAGGAGUUGUCUGAAAACGGCAGUUGCUCAGAAGUUAUUAAUAUCUUUCGAGAAGCACCAUCUGCCUCAUUUUCUUCCUCUAAUAAGAGCUCUUCAAAUCAUGGUGUCUCUGGGGGAAUUGAACCGACUAAAACAGAAAACAAAGAUAUUGCAACCAUGGAAAGGAAAUCUACUUCCAUUGAUGUGGGGAAGGAUGUAAAAGAUAUUAAUGACCAGGAAAUGGAGAGGAACAACAGAGUCCACAUCAGUUCUAAUUAUGACGGUUCUCAUGAAGAUUGUUUGGAUAACUCAAUGAAACACAUGCAAUUGAAGCCAAAUACUGUGGAGACAACAUACACGGGUCAACAUGCUGCAAGUGCCCCACUCUACCAAAUGAAUAAGACUGGGGCAACUGGCGCUCCAGACCCUGGAACUGAAGGAAGUCAUCCUGAUCAAACAAGUGAUCGAGUGGGAGGAGCUAAUGGAAGCAUGGACUGCAUCCAUCCAACACUUCCGGUGGAUCCAAAAAUUGGCAGCAGCUCCACAGCACAGUCCUUUCCCCACAACUAUGCAGGCUUUGCACCAACGAUGCAAUGCCAUUGCAACCAAGAUGCCUACAGGUCUUCUCUUAAUAUGUCAUCCACCUUCUCUAACAUGCUCGUUUCCACGUUGUUAUCAAACCCCACAGUACAUGCAGCCGCAAGGCUUGCAGCAUCAUACUGGCCAGCAGCAGACAGCAACAUUCCUGUUGGUCCAAAUCAAGAAGUUUUUGCUGAGAAUGCUCAAGGAAGACAUAUUGGUUCUCCUCCAAGCAUGGCUUCUGUGGUAGCAGCUACAGUUGCUGCGGCUUCGGCAUGGUGGGCAACACAAGGUCUUCUCCCUCUUUUUGCUCCCCCCAUGGCUUUUCCAUUUGUCCCAGUUCCUACUGCUUCCUUUCCCACAACGGAUGUUCAGCGAGCUACAGAGAACUGCCCAGUGGACAACGCACCGAAGGAAUGCCAAGUAGCUCAGGAGCAAGGUCAACCUGAAGCUAUGAUAGUUGUAGCGUCUUCUGGAUCCGACAAGAGUGGAAAAGGAGAGGUGUCUCCCCACACCGAGUUAAAUAUAUCUCCAGCUGAUAAAGUUGAGACAACACCUCCCACAGGAGCUGAAACAAGUGAUGCUUUCGGCAACAAGAAGAAGCAGGAUCGCUCUUCAUGUGGUUCCAACACGCCAUCAAGUAGUGAUGUAGAGGCAGAACAUGUUCCUGAGAACCAAGAUCAAGCCAACGACAAGACACAGCAAGCAUGUUGCAGUAAUUCUUCAGCUGGUGACAUGAACCACCGCAGGUUUAGGAACAUUUCAAGCACAAAUGAUUCAUGGAAGGAAGUUUCCGAAGAGGGUCGUAUGGCUUUCGAUAAACUGUUCAGUAGAGGAAAGCUUCCCCAAAGCUUUUCUCCUCCACAAGCAGAAGGAUUGAAGGUGGUACCCAGGGGGGAACAAGACGAAGCUACUACGGUGACGGUCGACCUCAACAAGAGUGCUGCAGUUAUGGACCAUGAACUUGAUACAUUGGUUGGGCCAAGAGCUACCUUUCCCAUUGAAUUGUCACACCUGAAUAUGAAAUCCCGCCGGACAGGCUUCAAACCUUACAAGAGGUGCUCGGUGGAAGCAAAGGAGAAUAGGGUGCCGGCUGCUGACGAGGUGUCUGGAAAACAUCAAAUGGAGACAGACGAGAAGCUGAAGCACCUCUAUAGCACGGUGAAUCAACAGAGCAUUCUGAUGGAUCUGGCAUCACAUCCUCGGCCAAAACACCACAUGGAUCAGCAGAAGUAG
rnacentral:rRNA from 1 species